GGCCUGAUGGUCUAGUAGUAUGAUUCCUUGUUAGGGUUUACCCAAAUUCGAGGAGGUCCCGGGUUCAAUUCCCGGUCAGGCCC
rnacentral:tRNA from 1 species